rnacentral:rRNA from 1 species
GACGAACGCUGGCGGCGUGCCUAAUACAUGCAAGUAGGACGCAGUUGCGAACGGGUGAUUAACGCGUCGGUAACUACCUAUUAGUGGGGGAUAACUAUUGGAACCGAUAGCUCAUACCGCAUACUAGUAGAUUGACCUGCUUUGUAUUAGCUAGUAGGUAGGGUAAUGGCCUACCUAGGCAACGAUACAUGGCCGACCCUGGAGGGGGAUCGGCCCACAGGGGAACGAGGACCGGCCCAGACUCCUUAGGGAGGCAGCAGGUGGGAAGUUUGGGCAAUGGGGGGAACCCUGACUGAGCAACGCCGGGUGAGUGAAGAAGGUUGUCGGAUCGUAAAGCUCUUUUGUUAAGGAAGCGGUACUUAACCAGAAAGGGACGGCUAACUACGUGCCAGCCGCCGCGGUAAUAC